rnacentral:lncRNA from 1 species
AAAAAUUCUCUCCCUUAUAACUCCUAAUGACCUGCAUAAACCUUCACAUCCAAUUGCAGCGCAAUAACAGUCCAAACAUGGCAACAAUUAUCUAUUACAACAUUUACUACCCAAUUUCUAAUAAAAUAACUAAAAACAUAAUACUAAACUUGCAAAAACUUAGUUUUAAUGAAAUUUUGGUUUUAAUAAUUUGAUUUAGGAAUUCCUUUCCACUGCUAUUGCUUGUGAUUUCCUUCCGAAUCAAUUUACUACUGCACCUCUUAUCCGAAAAUGAGAUUUAAUUUCCCUCGUAAAUUAAUUAAUUUGCAACUUCAAUUCCUUAAAGCACCUCCAGCAGGCAGGAGCUGCGUGAAUCCUAGACUAUAUUUAGUCUAGGAUGGAAAUUUCGCUCCAGCAGAUGGAGUAAAUUUAAUCGGGUCAUUUUUCCGACAAGCCAAAUCGACUAAAUCUGCAAACCGAAAUCUCGUGGACUAUAAUUUAUAUUAUAUUUAAAUAGAAGGCUUGGUUGGAGAAAAAAAAAUAGAGAAGGAG